rnacentral:rRNA from 1 species
UACGAAGGGGGCUAGCGUUGCUCGGAAUCACUGGGCGUAAAGCGCACGUAGGCGGACUCUUAAGUCAGGGGUGAAAUCCUGGAGCUCAACUCCAGAACUGCCUUUGAUACUGAGAGCCUUGAGUCCGGAAGAGGUAAGUGGAACUGCGAGUGUAGAGGUGAAAUUCGUAGAUAUUCGCAAGAACACCAGUGGCGAAGGCGGCUUACUGGUCCGGUACUGACGCUGAGGUGCGAAAGCGUGGGGAGCAAACAGGG